ACGGAGGGGGCGAGCGUUAUUCGGAAUUAUUGGGCGUAAAGGGCGCGUAGGCGGCUCGAUAAGUCAAAGGUGAAAUCCCCCGGCUUAACCUGGGAACUGCGUCUGAUACUGGACGGCUCGAGUAUGGGAGAGGGAUGUAGAAUUCCAGGUGUAGCGGUGAAAUGCGUAGAUAUCUGGAGGAAUACCGGUGGCGAAGGCGGCAUCCUGGACCAUUUACUGACGCUGAGGCGCGAAAGCUAGGGGAGCAAACGGGA
rnacentral:rRNA from 1 species